GACGAACGCUGGCGGCGUGCCUAACACAUGCAAGUCGAGCGAGUGGAGUUCUUCGGAACAAAGCUAGCGGCGGACGGGUGAAUAACACGUGGGCAACCUGCCUCAUAGAGGGGAAUAGCCUUCCGAAAGGGAGAUUAAUACCGCAUAAGAUUGUAGCUUCGCAUGAAGUAGCAAUUAAAGGAGUAAUCCGCUAUGAGAUGGGCCCGCGGCGCAUUAGCUAGUUGGUGAGGUAACGGCUCACCAAGGCGACGAUGCGUAGCCGACCUGAGAGGGUGAUCGGCCACAUUGGGACUGAGACACGGCCCAGACUCCUACGGGAGGCAGCAGUGGGGAAUAUUGCACAAUGGGGGAAACCCUGAUGCAGCAACGCCGCGUGAGUGAUGACGGCCUUCGGGUUGUAAAGCUCUGUCUUCAGGGACGAUAGUGACGGUACCUGAGGAGGAAGCCACGGCUAACUACGUGCCAGCCGCCGCGGUAAUAC
rnacentral:rRNA from 1 species